rnacentral:rRNA from 1 species
CCUAGCGGCAGACGGGUGCGUAACAUGUGGGAAUCUGCCUUUUGGUUCGGAACAACACGGGGAAACCUGUGCUAAUACCGGAUAAGUCCUUACGGAGAAAGUUUUAAUGCCAAAAGAUGAGCCCGCAUUUGAUUAGCUAGUUGGUAAGGUAAAAGCUUACCAAGGCGACAAUCAAUAGCUGAUUUGAGAGGAAGACCAGCCACAUUGGGACUGAGACACGGCCCAAACUCC